rnacentral:rRNA from 1 species
UACGUAGGUGGCAAGCGUUGUCCGGAAUUACUGGGUGUAAAGGGCGUGUAGGCGGGAGAAUAAGUCAGAUGUGAGAUUCCAGGGCUCAACCCUGGCGCUGCAUCUGAAACUAUUUUUCUUGAGUGCUGGAGAGGGAAGCGGAAUUCCUAGUGUAGCGGUGAAAUGCGUAGAUAUUAGGAGGAACACCAGUGGCGAAGGCGGCUUUCUGGACAGUAACUGACGCUGAGGCGCGAAAGCGUGGGGAGCAAACAGG